UGCCAGCCGCCGCGGUAAUACAGAGGGUGCAAGCGUUAAUCGGAAUGACUGGGCGUAAAGGGCGCGUAGGCGGUUUGACAACUGCGUUGUAAAAGACUCGGGCUUAACCUGAGGAUGUCAAUGUAUACUGUUAGGCUAGAGUGAGAGAGAGGUUAUGGGAAUUUCCGGAGGAGCGGUGAAAUGCGUAGAUUUCGGAAGGAACAUCAGUGGCGAAGGCGAGUAACUGGCUCUUGACUGACGCUGAGGCGCGAAGGCGUGGGUAGCAAACAGGAUUAGAUA
rnacentral:rRNA from 1 species